UACGUACCGUCCAAACGUUAUUCGGAAUCACUGGGCUUAAAGAGUUCGUAGGCGGUGCAGAAAGUUGGGUGUGAAAUCCCUCGGCUCAACCGAGGAACAGCGCUCAAAACUACUGGACUAGAGGGAGAUAGAGGUGAGCGGAACUGAUGGUGGAGCGGUGAAAUGCGUUGAUAUCAAUCAGGAACACCGGAGGCGAAGGCGGCGUCACUGGGUCUCUCCUGACGCUGAGGAACGAAAGCUAGGGUAGCGAACGGG
rnacentral:rRNA from 1 species